AGAAUGCAUAAUAGUGUUUCUUAUAGACAGCCUCACAGUACAGGGCUGACAGAGCGGAAAAACACGGCCAGGCCAAGGCCACAUGGGACAACGACCGUCAAGCUACACAUAUUGCACCAAGAUCAGUUCCUUAAAAUGGAUGCUCCUGGGAUAUGAAUAAAGAAAAUACAUCUGACAGUUGAGGAUUUCAAACAGUAGAUUUCUUCAUCCUUCAAAUUGCUGACCCCAUGAUGGUGCAGGGGAAACAGCAUUAGACUUGCCUGGAGAAGACUGAAAUCUGUCACUUAUGUUCAAGACCUUGAGGAAAUUGCUUCAUUUCUCAGAGCUUCAAGUUAUUUCUAAAAAUGUGAAUAUUAAUGCCUGCCCUGCCUGUCUCACAGAGCA